GUGGUGAGUGCAACAGCCUUUUAGGUUGGAGAUUUGUAAGAAUCACAAACUUUAUACCAUUUUUUUUUUUUUUGAGAUUGUAUAUUUAUGUUUUCUUGCAUAUUAACUAAAAAUCUUCUAACAAAAUUAUACUAUUAUAUGUUUAGAUUAAAGUGCCAGAGGAAACCGAUGUACUUAAGACUGGAAGAGUACUAGCGCAUUUAAACAAGCUCCUGAUGUGGGAUGGAAGGGAGAUGCUGUAUCCAAAUACACUAAUGGUUACAUUCAAUCAAACAACAGCUGCCCAUUUCUUCCUCUGCCGUCAAUGCAGUACCGCCCUUGUCUUGGUUAAAGAUUUAAUGCAUCUCAUCCCAGACAUAAUGAUCAACGCAGGCAUCUUUC